rnacentral:miRNA from 1 species
CAUGUGUGUAUGUAGAUACAUAUUCCAUAUAUAUCUACAUAUAUAUGCAAAUGUAUAGAAUGAAUCUCUCUACAUACAUGCACACACAUAUAUGUGUGUAGGUAUAUAUGUA